GACAUCCCGGGAAUCCCUUGGAAACAAGGGAGUGCCUUCGGGAACCUGGAGACAGGUGCUGCAUGGCUGUCGUCAGCUCGUGCCGUGAGUGUUGGGUUAAGUCCCGCAACGAGCGCAACCCUCAUUGUUAGUUUACUACCAUUCAGUUGAGGACUCUAAUGAGACUGCCAACGAUAAGUUGGAGGAAGGUGGGAUGACGUCAAAUCAUCAUGCCCUUUAUGACCUGGGCUACAAACGUACUACAAUGGCCAAUACAAAGAGAUGCGAAGCGGUGACGUGGAGCGAACCUCAGAAAGUUGGUCUCAGUUCAGAUUGAAGUCUGCAACUCGACUUCAUGAAGGCGGAAUCGCUAGUAAUCGUGGAUCAGAAUGCCACGGUGAAUACGUUCCCGGGCCUU
rnacentral:rRNA from 1 species